rnacentral:rRNA from 1 species
UUCUGGUUGAUCCUGCCGGAGGCUACCGCUAUUGGAGUUCGAUUGAGCCAUGCGAGUCGAGAGUCUUAGGGACUCGGCGCACCGCUCAGUAACACGUGGGUAACCUGCCCUAUGCUGGGGGAUAACCUCGGGAAACUGAGAAUAAUACCCCAUAGUUCACCACGCCUGGAACGGUGGGUGGAUCAAAGCUCCGGCGGCAUAGGAUGGGCCUGCGACGUAUCAGGUUGUAGGGGGUGUAACGUACCCUCUAGCCAUCAACGCGUACGGGUGUUGGGAGACAUAGCCCGGAGAUGGAUUCUGAGACACGAAUCCAGACCCUACGGGGUGCAGCAGGCGCGAAAACUUGGCAAUGCGAGCAAUCGUGACCAGGGAACUCCAAGUGGCUGGGGUAAUACCCAGUUUUUUCUUGACUCUUCAAAGGUCUUGGAAUAAGGGGUGGGUAAGGACGGUGCCAGCCGCCGCGGUAAUACCGGCGCCUCAAGUGGUAGUCGCUUUUAUUGGGCCUAAAACGUCCGUAGCCGGUCUGGUGCAUUCGUGGGUAAAUCAACCCGCUCAACGGGUUGAAUUCUGCGAGCACGGCCAGACUUGGGACCGGGAGAGGUGUGGGGUACUCUCAGGGUAGGGGUAAAAUCCUGUCAUCCUGAG